AUGACAUCGAUCGAAGUGGCGGUGGCCGGCGGCAAUGGCAAGAGGAGGUGGGUGUCGGACGUGGAGAAGACGCUGAAUGAGGCGGACAAGACGGUGGAGGUGGCGCAGUGGGAGCGGCACUGCAUCUACCGCGUGCCGGCGUGCAUCAAGGACAUCAAGAGCAAGGCGUACCAGCCGCAGGUGGUGUCGCUGGGCCCGUUCCACCACGGCGACCCCAACCUGCUGCCCAUGGAGGAGCACAAGCGCCGGGCGCUGCGCCACCUGCUCCGGCGCGCGGGCCGGCCACUGGACGACUUCGUCGCCGCCGUCGAGGAGAUCGCGGAGCAGCUGGAGAGCGCGUACAUGGACCUCGGCGGCGAGUGGCGCGCCGGCAUCGACGGCAAGGGCAGGGAGCGGUUCCUGGAGAUGAUGAUCGUCGACGGCUGCUUCCUGCUCGAGGUGAUGAGGAGAACGGCCGCCGGGAACUUGAAGCAGGUCGACGACUACGCCGGCAACGACCCCAUCUUCAGCCGCCACGGGAUACUCUACAUGGUGCCCUACAUCAAGCGCGACAUGCUCAUGCUCGAGAACCAGCUGCCGCUGCUCGUGCUCCAGAGGCUCGACAACGUCGAGACUGGAAAGUCUCCGAACGACGACUUCAUCAACAGAAUGGUGCUAAGGUUUCUGGCGCCAUUCUCACGGCCAUUGCAGCCAGGCGGUCGCCUAGGGCUGCACCCACUCGACGUCUUCCGCCGGAGCAUGCUCUUCGGCGAAUACCAGAAGAUCCGGAGCUCCGAGGACAACACGCAGGACAACGACAUCAUCCGAUCGGCGGUGGAGCUGUACGAAGCCGGGAUCCAGUUCAAGACGAGCAAGUCAAGCAGCCUGCACAACAUCCGGUUCAAGCACGGCGUGCUGAGCAUGCCGACGGUGCCCGUGGACGACUCCACCGAGUACAUGUUCCUCAACAUGAUGGCGUUCGAGCGGCUGCACGUCGGCGCCGGCAACGACGUGACGGCCUACGUCUUCUUCAUGGACAACAUCAUCGACUCGGCCAAGGACGUGGCGCUGCUGAGCUCCAAGGGGAUCAUCCAGAACGCCGUGGGCAGCGACAAGGCCGUGGCCAAGCUCUUCAACAGCAUCUCCAGGGACGUGGUGCUGGAGCCGGACAGCGCGCUGGACGCCGUGCAGAGGCAGGUGAACGGCUACUUCAGGCAGCCGUGGAACAUGUGGCGCGCCAACCUCAUCCACACCUACUUCAGGAGCCCGUGGGCGUUCCUCUCCCUCGCCGCCGCCGUCUUCCUCCUCGUCAUGACCAUCAUGCAGACCGUCUACACAGUGCUGCCGUUCUAUAAUCGGGACAGCAACAGCCCGCCGUCGGCUCCAUCUCCGAUGUGA
rnacentral:rRNA from 1 species